rnacentral:rRNA from 1 species
AUGCAAGUCGAACGGAGUAGCAAUACUCAGUGGCGGACGGGUGAGUAACACGUGGGAAUCUACCAUUAGGUGGGGAAUAACAGGCCGAAAGGACUGCUAAUGCCGCAUAUGUAGGCAUCUCGACAGAGAUGUUUAUGAAAGGAGUAAUCCGCCUUUUGAUGAGCCCGCGUCCGAUUAGCUAGUUGGUAGGGUAAAAGCCUACCAAGGCGACGAUCGGUAGGUGGUCUGAGAGGAUGAUCACCCACAAUGGGACUGAGACACGGCCCAUACUCCUACGGGAGGCAGCAGUGGGGAAUUUUACGCAAUGGGGGAAACCCUGACGUAGCGACACCGCGUGAGCGAAGAAGCCCUUUGGGGUGUAAAGCUCUGUCAACAGGAACGAAACAAAUGACGGUACCUGUGGAGGAAGCAUCGGCUAACUACGUGCCAGCAGCCGCGGUA